UACAGAGGUCCCAAGCGUUGUUCGGAUUCACUGGGCGUAAAGGGUGCGUAGGCGGUCGGGUAAGUCUGAUGUGAGAUCUCCAAGCUCAACUUGGAAAUGGCAUCGGAUACUAUUCGGCUCGAGGAAUGGAGGGGAGACUGGAAUACUUGGUGUAGCAGUGAAAUGCGUAGAUAUCAAGUGGAACACCAGUGGCGAAGGCGAGUCUCUGGACAUUUCCUGACGCUGAGGCACGAAAGCCAGGGGAGCAAACGGG
rnacentral:rRNA from 1 species